rnacentral:sRNA from 1 species
UCUCUCUGUACGGGAAGGAUGAGAAGCUUCGACCAGGGUUCGAUUCGAGCGCAGCGAGAAAGCGUUGCCGCAGGCAACGACCCGAAGGGCGAAGCGCGCAGCGCUGAGUCAUCCUUCCCCCACCACCA